rnacentral:rRNA from 1 species
UAGGGAAUAUUGCACAAUGGAGGAAACUCUGAUGCAGCGACGCCGCGUGAGUGAUGAAGGACUUCGGUUUGUAAAGCUCUGUUCUCAGGGAAUAAAAAAAUGAAUGUACCUGAGGAGAAAGCACCGGCUAACUUCGUGCCAGCAGCCGCGGUAAUACGAAGGGUGCAAGCGUUGCUCGGAAUCAUUGGGCGUAAAGCGAGCGCAGGUGGUCUUGUAAGUCGGGAGUGAAAUCCCAGGGCUCAACCCUGGAAGUGCUUUCGAUACUGCGAGACUUGAAUGUGGGAGAGGGUACUAGAAUACAUAGUGUAGUGGUGAAAUACGUAGAUAUUAUGUGGAACACCGGUGGCGAAGGCGGGUGCCUGGCCCAACAUUGACACUUAGGCUCGAAAGCGUGGGGAUCAAACAGGAUUAGAUACCCCCGUAGUCC